rnacentral:rRNA from 1 species
GACGUAGGGCGCGAGCGUUGUCCGGAUUUAUUGGGCGUAAAGAGCUCGUAGGCGGCUUGUCGCGUCGUCCGUGAAAACUUGGGGCUCAACCCCAAGCUUGCGGUCGAUACGGGCAGGCUAGAGUUCGGUAGGGGAGACUGGAAUUCCUGGUGUAGCGGUGAAAUGCGCAGAUAUCAGGAGGAACACCGGUGGCGAAGGCGGGUCUCUGGGCCGAUACUGACGCUGAGGAGCGAAAGCGUGGGGAGCGAACAGG